GGGGAAUGGAAUACGAUUGAUUAGGCUACCUGACGUAUUACCCACAGGCUAUGUAUAGACACCUGGGGUCCUAAAGCCGGUAGCUUGUUGUCAACACCACUGGUUCUAGGGCUGUGUAGCAGAGUCACAGGUGCUGCGUGAAAGCAACAGGAGGACGAGCCGCUGUAUGUUGAUGUGCAUGUGGGAGAAUGACGCCGUGUUGUUGUGCGUAACAAGGUACGUUAUUAAACGUAUCCGUUGUAAUAGACUUCUGUUUGUAGUAUAAUACAGGCUAGUCAUGUAACGUUUAUUUAUCCUUCACCAGUGUCUGCUGGGCACUGUUACCGUAGCAGUGAGGGGAGUUGUUCUCAGGAAGCCAUCAGCUACAGUGUUCGUAGCCUUGUUGAAAAGGUAUGUUAUGCCUGAUCCGUGUACUGUGUGGCAUACCAGCAGGCCAUAGCGGCCAUUCAUUUUGUACGGGUAAUAAUGUAGGCUGGCUAACACUGCCAUGUCUUGAUGUUUUUAAUUAGUGUUCUGCCAUUGCCUUUUCCAUGUGUACUGCUUUUAAGGCUGUGGGAUUAGCAAAGUUGAUUACUGUUGUGAUUGCUAUUUUGCACAAUGGUAAAGUACCAGUAACCAUCUUACCAGUGUUUGUUUUAUAUACUUGCAGUGAUAGACCCUCGCAGCUACACAGGGAUGCUAGUUGCUGUUCUCUUUUAAUGUGUGUUUGAUGCAUUGGUGCUGCUUAUAGUUUGUUUACUUUUCUUUUUUGUUCCUCUAGCCUAUCGGCCUAAGUAGCUUGUGUAGGUACCACCUAUUUAAUGUGAGCCGCAGGCUAGAUUGGAUUUAUUUAUUUAUUUAUUUUUUGCUGUACUUCCAGUUUUUG
ensembl:lncRNA